GGGACCGUUCGGGUCGUAAGACUCUGUUGUUAGGGUAAGAACGAAGUAGACGAGAGUAACUGCUCGCACCUUGACGUACCUAACCAGAAAGCCACGGCUAACUACGUGCCAGCAGCCGCGGUAAGUACGUAGGUGGACAAGCGUUGUCCGGAAUUAUUGGGCGUAAAGCGAGCGCAGGCGGUUUGAUAAGUCUGAAGUUAAAGGCUGUGGCUCAACCAUAGUUCGCUUUGGAAACUGUCAAACUUGAGUGCAGAAGGGAGAGUGGAAUUCCAUGUGUAGCGGUGAAAUGCGUAGAUAUAUGGAGGAACACCGGUGGCGAAAGCGGCUCUCUGGUCUGUAACUGACGCUGAGGCUCGAAAGCGUGGGGAGCGAACAGGAUUAGAUACCCUGGUAGUCCACGCCGUAAACGAUGAGUGCUAGGUGUUGGAUCCUUUCCGGGAUUCAGUGCCGCAGCUAACGCAUUAAGCACUCCGCCUGGGGAGUACGACCGCAAGGUUGAAACUCAAAGGAAUUGACGGGGCCCGCACAGCGUGGAGCAUGUGGUUUAAUUU
rnacentral:rRNA from 1 species